rnacentral:rRNA from 1 species
GUGGGGAAUAUUGGACAAUGGGCGCAAGCCUGAUCCAGCCAUGCCGCGUGAGUGAUGAAGGCCUUAGGGUUGUAAAGCUCUUUCACCGAUGAAGAUAAUGACGGUAGUCGGAGAAGAAGCCCCGGCUAACUUCGUGCCAGCAGCCGCGGUAAUACGAAGGGGGCUAGCGUUGUUCGGAUUUACUGGGCGUAAAGCGCACGUAGGCGGUUUGUUAAGUCAGGGGUGAAAUCCCGGAGCUCAACUCCGGAACUGCCUUUGUUACUGGCAAGCUAGAGUCCGGAAGAGGUAAGUGGAACUCCUAGUGUAGAGGUGGAAUUCGUAGAUAUUAGGAAGAACACCAGUGGCGAAGGCGGCUCACUGGUCCGGUUCUGACGCUGAGGUGCGAAAGCGUGGGGAGCAAACAGGAUUAGAUACCCUUGUAGUCC